GGUGCGUAGGCGGGUAGGUAAGUCAGUGGUGAAAUCCUGGAGCUCAACUCCAGAACUGCCAUUGAUACUAUCUAUCUUGAAUAUUGUGGAGGUAAGCGGAAUAUGUCAUGUAGCGGUGAAAUGCUUAGAUAUGGCAUAGAACACCCAUUGCGAAGGCAGCUUACUACGCAUAUGUUGACGCUGAGGCACGAAAGCGUGGGGAUCAAACAGGAUUAGAUACCCUGGUAGUCCACGCCCUAAACGAUGGAUACUCGACAUACGCGAUACACUGUGUGUGUCUGAGCGAAAGCAUUAAGUAUCCCACCUGGGAAGUACGUUCGCAAGAAUGAGACUCAAAGGAGUAGGCGGGGGUCCGCACAAGCGAGUGGAGAAUGUGGUGUAAUGCGAUGAUACGCGAGGAACCUUACCUGGGCUAGAAUGCUGGGGGAUCGCUAGCUGUAAGCUAGUUUUCUAGCAAUACACUGCCAGCAAGGUGCUGCAUGGCCGUCGUCAGCUCGUGCCGUGAGGUGUUGGGUUAAGUCCCGCAACGAGCGCAACCCCUAUCUUUAGUUGCCAACAGGUAAUGCUGGGAACUCUAAAGAAACUGCCGCCGUAAGGUGUGAGGAAGGAGGGGAUGAUGUCAGGUCAUCGUGGCUUUAUGCCCAGGGCUACACACGUACUACAAUGGGGAAGACAAAGGGCUGCAACAUAGCGAUAUGAAGCCAAUCCCAAAAACUUCCUCUCAGUUCAGAUUGCAGGCUGCAACUCGCCUGCAUGAAGCUGGAAUCGCUAGUAA
rnacentral:rRNA from 1 species